CAGAGUGUAAACAAAACUAGAUAGCGAAUAUGGAGAAGGAAAAUUAUGUUUAAUCACAUAAAGAAACACCCUUUGAGAGGAGGAUACUGGAGGGAAAGCUGAGAGUAAAAGAGCUCGGACCUGAUCAGCCUGACAUAGGCAGGAGUUAAGGACAGAGGAAGGCAGUAUACGUGCUCUUUUUCAAGGACCCAUGGUUUAGCAAGAAGGCUAACUACUACCUGUAGCAACACCAGUGCUAUAUUUUGCAUCCCCUGCCUCCCUUUCCAAACGUCAGGAUCAGACCAGUCUAUGGACCAGACCCAGCAUGGAUCCAGACAGAUGAUCCUGUCUUAAGUUUCUGGCACCAGCAGCAGCAACGGAAAAGGAUAAGGUGCCCCCUCCAAAUGCUGAUGAUGCAGUUCAGUCAACAUCUACCUCCAGUGGGGCGUCAAUAUCUACCUUGAGUGGGGCAUCAACAUCUGCCUCCCGUGGGAUGUCAACAUCUGCCUCCAGUGAGGCGUCAAUAUCUACCUUGAGUGGGGCGUCAACAUCUGCCUCCAGUGAGGCAGCAACAUCUGCCUCCAGUGAGGCGUCAACAUCUGCCUCCAGUGGGGCAGCAACAUCUUCUCAUCAUGAAGAUGACACGUCAACCCCUACCUCCAGCAGCACUACCACGACUACAAAAGGUUUGAUCACAUCAGACGACCCUGCACAAUGGCCAAAUGUCCUAAAUGAUAGUGAAAAGUGUGCACUAGUAACAAGAGGACCAAUAAAAGAAACAGAUAUAGUCUUUCCGCAGAAUACUGAAAAAACUUCACGUAGAUUAACAAAGGAAAACUAUUCUGGUUUGAAUUUUUCGGGCUCCGGAUAUUCGGUAGUAAUCAGCAAGGCAAGGCAAGUUUAUUUAUAUAGCACUUUUCAACACAAGGCAAUUCAAAGUGCUUUACUGAAAGACAUUAAGAAAAUGGCAUUUAAAAUCAGUCAUUGUGAAGCUGACCGUUGAGCUGCCCAGACCAAGCAAGGAGGCAGAGGCAGAACGUCCAAAAAUAUAACCCGACGUGGGCAUUUAUUAAAAUCCUGGGCCCAAAGUUCACAGCCUCAAUCCUGCUGUUCACCUUGCACCCAUCCUACAGCCACAAGGAUCUCAAAAACACUCCCAAACAGCAAAACCCCAGAGCCUAAAUGCCCAACCCAAUCAACCCAACAGGACACAGGUGAGGGGGGAGGAGACAACACAGGACACCAGGUGCACACAAUCAACGGCAACAGACAUGGGGAAAAGGGAACACAUUUCAAAAUAAAAUACAAUAAACACUACAUCAAUCAAUAGUAUAAAUUGUAUACAAAUGUGCACACAUGCAAGGCCCGAAGCCAUCCGUCCACAGUGACGAAGUUACCUUCGUCACAGUCAUUAAAAAGAAAAGCUAAUAAAAUAAACAUUAAAAGAAAAAAUACAUGGAUAAAAGUUACAGUGCAGUCUAAGAUAUGAAUAGUUCAAUUAAACAUUAAAAGAAAAAGUACAUGGAUCAAAGUUACAGUGCAGUCUAAGAUAUGAAUAGUUCAAUUAAAAGCAGCGACAAAAAGUAAAGUCUUCA